AGCUCCAAUAGCGUAUAUUAAAGUUGUUGCAGUUAAAAAGCUCGUAGUUGGAUUUCUGGGGGGCGCAGAUUGUCCGCAGCCGCGAGUGCAGAUGCGCCCUUUCAUCCUUCUGUUAACGUCUCUUGGCAUUCAUUUGCUGGUGGCGGGCUCAGAUAUUUUACCUUGAGAAAAUUAGAGUGUUUCAGGCAGGCUCGCGUCGGAAUACAUUAGCAUGGAAUAAUAGAAUAGGACUCAGUCCUCCUUUGUUGGUUUGAGGGGUCAGAGUAAUGGUUAAUAGGGAUAGUUGGGGGCAUUAGUAUUUGACUGUCAGAGGUGAAAUUCUCGGAUUUGUCAAAGACUAACUUAUGCGAAAGCAUUUGCCAAGGAUGUUUUCA
rnacentral:rRNA from 1 species